UAAUUCACUACUUGCUAUUUUCUUUGUUUCUACACCAUGUGGAUUAAGUUUGUUUGGGCAUAUGCCCUUUUCCAAUAUGGACAUCCUUGGGACUGUUUACACCAUGCUCGAGUGUGGAACGCAUGGUGGAACGCAAAAAUAUCAUGUGACUGCAUCUAACCGGAAGUCACGUGCGUUUUGCCGAAACCGGAAGUGACACGAUCGGCGGUAUUUGGAGACUACAGCUGGACCUAUUUGAACAUAUCAAGGGGGCUAUUUAAGCCCUGAAGUUUUUUCCAGGAACUUAGCACUGAGGAAGGCCCUAUGAGGGGCUGAAACGCGUUUGCACUUUACUGGACUUCUCUAUUGGGACUUUUUUCUG